GUCUACGGCCAUAGUACGCUGAAUGCGCCAAUCUUGUCUGAUCUCAGAAGCUAAGCAGGUCGGGCCUGUUGAGUACUUGGAUGGGAGACUUUAUUAGAAUCUAAUAGUGUGUCCAGA
ensembl:rRNA 5S_rRNA 5S ribosomal RNA